rnacentral:tRNA from 1 species
GCGGACGUGGUGGAAUUGGUAUACACAACAGACUUAAAAUCUGUCGGGCUCACGCCCAUGCCGGUUCAAGUCCGGCCGUCCGCACCA